AUGUAUAUGAGCGGCUUGUCCAGGAUGGUAAGAAAGCUGGUUUCUUUCAGUUGCUGGCUACGCAAACUGUCAGUGCUGUAUGGCAUGGAUUGUAUCCUGGGUACAUGAUUUUCUUUGUUCAGUCUGCUUUGUUUAUUGCUGGUUCAAGAGGUUCUAACACGAUUCCCAAGAAGAAGAAGCCAGUCAUUGCUGUGAAUAUGGUUUUUGAAUUGAAGACUACAAGGCCUAUCGUGCUCAUGUUUUGUUCUAGAUGGGAAUCGUGCUCAUAUUUUUGUAUAGAACUUUACUACUCUCUAUUGUGGAUGGGAAAUCACUAGUAUUGUAACUGAAUGGCUUAUUUUGGAUGGUGCAUGGUUUAUGACUCAUUUGAGGCAACAUUUAUAUAUAUAUGUAUUUGGGUUGAUCUUCUA